GCGAGGGUGGCGGAAUCGGCAGACGCGCUAGAUUUAGGAUCUAGUGAGGAAACUCGUGGGGGUUCAAAUCCCCCCUCUCGCACCA
rnacentral:tRNA from 1 species